AUUGAACGCUGGCGGCAUGCCUUACACAUGCAAGUCGAACGGCAGCACGGGAGCAAUCCUGGUGGCGAGUGGCGAACGGGUGAGUAAAGUAUCGGAACGUGCCCAGUCGUGGGGGAUAACGUAGCGAAAGUUACGCUAAUACCGCAUACGAUCUAUGGAUGAAAGCGGGGGAUCGGAAGACCUCGCGCGAUUGGAGCGGCCGAUAUCAGAUUAGGUAGUUGGUGGGGUAAAGGCUCACCAAGCCGACGAUCUGUAGCUGGUCUGAGAGGACGACCAGCCAAACUGGGACUGAGACACGGCCCAGACUCCUACGGGAGGCAGCAGUGGGGAAUUUUGGACAAUGGGCGAAAGCCUGAUCCAGCCAUGCCGCGUGCAGGAUGAAGGCCUUCGGGUUGUAAACUGCUUUUGUACGGAACGAAAAGGUUUGGGCUAAUAAGCUGAGCUCAUGACGGUACCGUAAGAAUAAGCACCGGCUAACUACGUGCCAGCCGCCGCGGUAA
rnacentral:rRNA from 1 species